UUUGUGAAUAAUUUACAUUUCAAAAUAUAAAAAAAUGUUAUAAGUAUGAAAAACACUUUUUAAAACAGCUCAUACAGGCCAGGCGUAAUACUCUGAAGAAACUAAGAUAUAUCUUAUCUUAUAAAUUUAUAAAUUACAGACGUUACAUCAAAAGAGAAGAUAAUUACGUCCUACUGAGUCAAUUACUUAUGUCUCAGAGAAUUGGCCACAACUAAACAAGAGAAUGUUCAUGUUUUCAGUUUGACAGAAACAAAGUUGUAUGAGAUGCUAUACGAAGAGAAUAAAUGAGAAUAAAGUUCUGUUGUUGUUUUGUUUCUCCAGUUCUAGCACUAAGCACAAGACAUUAGAUAUACUAACAGUAAGUAUAUAAAUAACACAUACACAUGUUAAAAGACUACCGUUACUGGCAUUUCAGUGGGGAAACUAGCACCGCAGAUAAAAUAUACAUAGUUAAAUGAAAUAAGUACAUAGGUCUGUUAGGAUGUGAAAUGAAAUAAGUACAUAGGUCUGUUAGGAUGUGAAAUGAAAUAAGUACAUAGGUCUGUUAGGAUGUGAAAUGAAAUCAGUACAUAGGUCUGUUAGGAUGUUAAAUGAAAUCAGUACAUAGGUCUGUUAUGAUGUUAAAUGAAAUCAGUACAUAGGUCUGUUAGGAUGUUAAAUGAAAUCAGUACAUAGGUCUGUUAGGAUGUGAAAUGAAAUCAGUACAUAGGUCUAUUAUGAUGUUAAAUGAAAUCAGUACAUAGGUCUGUUAUGAUGUUAAAUGAAAUCAGUACAUAGGUCUGUUAGGAUGUGAAAUGAAAUCAGUACAUAGGUCUGUUAGGAUGUUAAAUGAAAUAAGUACAUAGGUCUAUUAGGAUGUUAAAUGAAAUCAGUACAUAGGUCUGUUAGGAUGUUAAAUGAAAUAAGUACAUAGGUCUGUUAGGAUGUUAAAUGAAAUCAGUACAUAGGUCUGUUAGGAUGUUAAAUGAAAUCAGUACAUAUGUCUGUUAGGAUGUGAAAUGAAAUCAGUACAUAGGUCUGUUAGGAUGUUAAAUGAAAUCAGUACAUAGGUCUGUUAGGAUGUGAAAUGAAAUCAGUACAUAGGUCUGUUAGGAUGUGAAAUGGAACGAAUAUAUAACGAGUCUUGAGACAGUGGCGCCAUCCAAUAGAGAGGAAAUAAACCCUGACCCAAUAGGUUCUACAUAUAUGAAUCACUCAUUUGUUUCUGUCUUAGCCAGUACAGUAUAAAACCAUUCAUACAGACUUUUAGCGGCUAAUUAAAUAGCAAACUUUUUCUUCCACAUCUGACACACAUUGCUAGACUCAUAACCACUGCUAGAGAAAGUGCAUGUUAUGUGCCGCUGUUGUGACUUCAUACAAAUAGAAAUGAAACAGAAGUUCCAGGAACGGCCGUAGCUUCUAUCCAAGAAAGUAGUAUUAUUUUAUAAAUAUUUUGUAAGACUUCUAUCAUAUUAUACACCUCUAUCGUAUUUUAAAUCUUUGAUAGUUGAGAUAUAAGACCUGAGAGAGAAAAGUCAAAGCAAAACUGUACACAAAAAGCCACUUUAAGGAGAACAGACGUUCAAGUUUUGUGUCUGCCAAGUGAGCAAGAGGAUUGGAUGAGAAAGUAACGUCUGCUAAUGUCUCUAUAUUCACUCAUUCGACAUUGCUACGUACUUUGUAACUUAUGACUCAAAACCACAGAUGUAAACCAAGGUAUGCUAAUUCAAACCGUCUUUAGAUUAUUACCUUUAAAAAUAUUUUGAAAAUUAUAACAUUCUACAACUUCUCAUAUGUUUAUAUAAUGAGUUUUUUUUGUUUUUUUUAUAUAGACAACUUCAGCAAAACGUGUGUCGUCUUUACUUGUCUAAUUAGAAUCAAACAUUGAAAAAAA
rnacentral:sRNA from 1 species